rnacentral:tRNA from 1 species
UGCCCAGGGAUGGGAAUCGAACCCACAGUGUUCCGCUUACCGGGCAGAUGCCAUGACCACUAGGCUACCCUGGAC